rnacentral:tRNA from 1 species
GGGUUGUUAGCUCAGUUGGUAGAGCAGCUGACUCUUAAUCAGCGGGUCGGGGGUUCGAAAUCCUCACAACCCA